rnacentral:piRNA from 1 species
UCCUACCAUCCUAGAAGGACAACAGUGC